GGACUGUGGCUCAGCGGUAGAGUGCUCACCUAGCACGUGCAAGGACCUGGUUCAAUCCUCAGCACCA
rnacentral:tRNA from 1 species